GAUGAACGCUGGCGGCGUGCUUAACACAUGCAAGUCGAACGGACAGACGCGGCUCUUGCUCGUCUCUCGUUAGCCGCGGGCGUGUGAAUCACACGUGUAUCCCCUCCCUAUCUGUCUGAUAUCUCUACGGAACUCCGGCUAUUAUCCCGUAUAAUCUAUUGAACCAUGUGGUUCGAUAGUAAAUUACGGCUUUGCUGUCACGACUCGAUGCUUACGGGCCGGAUUAGCUAGUUGUUAAGUUAACGGCUUACCAAGGCGACGAUGCGUAGCCGAACUGAGAGGGUGAUCGGCCACACGGGAACUGAGACACGGUCCAGACUCCUACGGGAGGCAGUAGUAGGGAAUCUUCCGCAAUGGGCGAAAACCUGACGGAGCGACGCCGCGUGAGUGAUGAAGGUCUUCGGAUCGUAAAACUCUGUUAUUAGGGAAGAACAAAUGUGGAAUUAAACAUGGAGGGCUUGACGGUACCGGAUCAAAAAGCCACGGCUAACUACGUG
rnacentral:rRNA from 1 species